CAUGAAAUGAAAAGAAACCUCAACAUACUCUCACACACACUCACAAACUGAUCAUGAAAUAAAAAGAAAAAAACACACACACAUGUACUAGAGCGUAAUUGUGUGACAUUGUUUAACUUCUAAUGUACAGUAAGUAAAAAAAAAUAAGCUUUCCAAGCUGCCACACAAAGAAAAGAAUGUGAUUACAGUUUCAAGAUGGACACAGACACAAACACAAACACAAACACACACGCACACAUAAAUACAUACACACUGUACACCCCCCUACAACACCAACCCACACAUAUGUCAUGGGGGUACGUUGGAGUAAAGAGCAGGUUGCGGUAGGAACUGUAUGUGAGGGAAGCAAUGGGGUGCCGCACUAGCCAGCACUCAUGUAAUCAGUCAAUUCAAUUCAGCUGGUUUAAUUAGCCAUAGCGAGCAGAAGCCUCAUAAAUGGGGAGAGAGGAGAGCGUGUGGGACGUUCCCCCGCCCUGGCUUUGCUGUUAUUUGUUACAGGAUCUCGGCGGAGUGCCGCGAGUUGCAGAGGAGAGUUUGGAAGCAGAGGGCCGAGGAACACUGUCUUUGGCGAAAGUGGAGACGUGACGUGGGGAUCCCUCGAUAAUCAGCUGACUGAAGGCUGACUCAGGAUAACGUAAACCAGCCGUGACUACAGUGGAGCUGUAACUGGUGUGGACGUAUACACCUCCUUUUGCGCAACUGCCAGGGAGGAGAGAAGUGUGGAGCUUUCCUCCCUCAACGAGCUAAGUGGCCCUUCCUUGCCCUGUUAGUUUUAGAUUAAGCAAGACUGUGCUUGAGUGUGCAUGUUCCACGAGCGUGAAGCCCAGCUGAGACAGUGAGGGACCGGCAUGCCUGCCAGCCAUACGUAGGAGGAGAGUGGACUGCUUAAGACAUGAAUUGGACUCUUUUACUCGUUGCACCUUUUCUACAUAUUUAUUAGCUAUUGUAUUAAAUAAAGAUUAUUGUAUUUUCUCUA